ACUCGCUGUGGAGGCAAGCCGCGGCGCGCGGGCGGUUGGUCCAGUUCUCGGGCCUGGAGGUAGGCGAGUCUGGCUUGUUGCUGUCGGAUACUUGGGGUGAGCGGAAAGCAUGGCGGGGACCUCUGCGCCAGGCAGCAAGAGGCGGAGCGAGACCCCGGCGCCUCGCCCCGGCCCGCCGCCGGGCACUGGGCACCCCCCGAGCAAGCGGGCCCGGGGCUUCUCCGCGGUCGCUGCCCCGGACCCUGACGACCCGUUUGGCGCGCAUGGGGACUUCACUGCCGACGACCUGGAGGAGCUUGACACCCUCGCGUCACAGGCCCUGAGCCAGUGUCCGGCCCCGGCUCAGCACGUGUCCAGUGAUCAUAAGGUCCACAGAUUAUUAGAUGGCAUGUCAAAAAAUCCUGCAGGGAAAAACAGAGAAAGUGUUCCAAUUAAAGAUAAUUUUGAAUUAGAGGUACUUCAAGCACAAUACAAAGAACUGAAAGAAAAGAUGAAAGUAAUGGAAGAAGAAGUUCUCAUUAAGAAUGGAGAAAUUAAAAUUUUGCGAGACUCACUACAUCAGACGGAAUCUGUUCUAGAGGAACAGAGAAGAUCACAUUUUCUUCUUGAGCAAGAGAAAACCCAAGCACUCAGUGACAAAGAAAAGGAAUUCUCCAAAAAGCUCCAAUCAUUGCAGUCUGAACUCCAGUUUAAAGAUGCAGAGAUGAAUGAAUUAAGGACAAAGCUCCAGACCAGUGAACGUGCAAAUAAACUGGCUGCUCCUUCUGUUUCCCAUGUCAGUCCUAGGAAAAACCCUUCUGUGGUUAUAAAGCCAGAAGCAUGUUCUCCACAAUUUGGAAAAACAUCUUUUCCUACAAAGGAGUCUUUUAGUGCUAACAUGUCCCUUCCCCACCCCUGCCAGACAGAGUCAGGAUACAAGCCUCUGGUGGGCAGAGAGGAUAGUAAGACCCACAGUCUGAGAGGUGACUCCAUAAAACAAGAAGAGGCCCAGAAAAGCUUUGUUGACAGCUGGAGACAGAGAUCAAACACUCAAGGUUCCAUUUUGAUAAACCUGCUCCUGAAGCAGCCUUUGAUCCCAGGGUCAUCCCUAAGCCUGUGCCACCUCCUGAGUAGUAGUUCUGAGUCUCCUGCUGGCACCCCCCUGCAGCCACCAGGGUUUGGCAGUACCUUGGCUGGAAUGUCAGGCCUCAGGACCACAGGUUCUCAGGAUGGGUUAUUUUCCCUCUCAGCCCUGAGAGAAGCACAGAACCUGGCAUUCACUGGACUGAAUCUGGUUGCUAGGAAUGAGUGCUCACAUGAUGGAGACCCAGCAGAGGGAGGCAGAAGGGCCUUCCCACUCUGCCAGCUUCCUGGAGCCGUGCAUUUCCUCCCCCUUGUACAGUUCUUCAUCGGCUUACACUGCCAGGCCCUGCAGGACUUGGCAGCUGCUAAGAGAAGCGGAGCACCUGGGGACUUACCGACACAUUCCUCCCGCGUGAGCUCUGGGGUAGAGACCAACCCUGAGGACUCAGUGUGCAUCCUGGAAGGCUUCUCUGUGACUGCACUUAGCAUUCUUCAGCACCUGGUGUGCCACAGCGGAGCAGUGGUCUCCCUAUUACUGUCACCAGUUGGGGCAGAUUCUGCUGCUGGGGAAGGAAAUGGGAGCCUGGUUCACAGGUUUAGUGAUGGAGAUAUGACCUCAGCCCCAAGGGGGGUUGCUGACGACCAAGGACAGCACCCACUGUUGAAGAUGCUUCUUCACCUGUUGGCUUUCUCUUCUGCAGCAAUAGGUCACCUUCAAGCCAGUGUCCUGACCCAGUGCCUUAAGGUUUUGGUGAAAUUAGCCGAAAACACUUCCUCUGAUUUCUUGCCCAGGUUCCAGUGUGUGUUCCAAGUGCUGCCAAAGUGCCUCAGCCCAGAGACACCCCUGCCUGGCGUGCUGCUGGCUGUUGAGCUCCUCUCCCUCCUGGCGGACCACGACCAGUUGGCACCUCAGCUUUGUUCCCACUCAGAAGACUGCCUCCUGCUGCUGCUGUACAUGUACAUCACAUCACGGCCUGACAGAGUGGCCUCAGAGACACAAUGGCUCCAGCUGGAACAAGAGGUGGUGUGGCUCCUGGCUAAGCUUGGUGUGCAGAGCCCCUUGCCCCUAGUCACUGGCUCCAACUGCCAGUGUAAUGUAGAGGUGGUCAGAGCGCUCACGGUGAUGUUGCACAGACAGUGGCUGACAGUGCGGAGGGCAAGCGGGCCCCCAAGGACUGACCAGCAGAGGCGGACAGUGCGCUGUCUGCGGGACAUGGUGCUGCUGCUGCAUGGCCUGUCCCAGAAGGACAAGCUCUUCAUAAUGCACUGCGUGGAGGUCCUGCAUCAGUAUGACCAGGUGAUGCCAGGGGUCAGCAUGCUCAUCCGCGGGCUUCCUGACGUGACCGACUGUGAAGAGGCAGCCCUGGAUGACCUCUGUGCCACGGAAACCGAUGUGGACGACCCCGAGUUGGAGUGUGGCUGAGGCCCUGAGCGUCCAGCCACAUGGUGGCACCAGCACCGUUCCUUUCCUUACCACAUCAACUGAUUAAAGCAGUGACCAGCAGGAACUGCCCAGAGAACCGGCUGGCCUUGUUUCCUGAGUCUGAUCUGUUUGGCAGAGUGGGAGGGGUGGAGCGGGACCGGGACCUUGGGUGGCUGGCAUCCUUCUUCCUGUCCCUGGCUGCUGCUGAGCCCCAGUCCCCAUGGUAACCGAUCUGCCUUGAGGAAGGAGCCCUGCCCUGCCUGUGGAAUUGCCCUGAGUCAUUGCUUUGGGCUGGGGCCAUGGGAAGAAACCAUUGUGUGGCAGGGAAGGAGGUGGCUCUUGGCCCAGGCCUAAACCAGGAAAGCCUGGAAAAGUGGGACCCACAGGUGGGCACAAAAGGGCUGCAGCAGGAGCUCCCAGCAGUGUGUAACACCGGGAGCUGGUCUGGCGCCACUGCCCUGGUCCUUCCAGCUGCCUGUCACUGGUGUGAUGGCCCAGUGCAUUGUGCCACCAGCAGGCCACAGCUGUGGAUCUUAGAAGGCCUCUGGGGUCCCCUGGGGGCGGGGAAGUGGGGGUUGGGGGGACGGAUGUUGGCGAGAGGGACAGACCAGACAGUCUGACGAGCAGGGCGGGCCUGGCUCACGUGGGCCUGUAGGCGGGCCCACACCAAGUUUCACUUCCCGCCACUGCUGCCAGUGAGAGCCGCGGGGAGAGUGUGCAGCCAAGUCACUACUGCCUGCCUGCCUGCUACGAGCUGGCUAUGCUGGGCCUCACCAGUGCUCUGGAUGGUGCCUUCUGUGUGGAUAGCAUCACUGCGCUGAAGGCCGUGGAGCGAGCAGGCAGCCCCUCAGAACACGGCCCAAGGAAGAGCUACAGCCUAGGCAGCAUCUACACACGCCUGUAUGGGCAGUCCCCUCCGGACUCGCACACGGCUGAGGGUGAUGUCCUGGCCCUGCUCAGCAUCUGUCAGUGGAGACCACAGGCCCUGCUGCGGUGGGUGGAUGCUCACGCCAGGCCCUUCAGCACCAUCAGGCCCAUGUAUGGGGUCACAGCCUCUGCUGGGACCAAGCCAAGACCAUCUGCUGUUACAGCCACUGCACACCUGGCCACAACCAGGAACACUAGUCCCAGCCUUGGAGAGAGAAGGCGACCCAAGGAUCUUCCUCCGGUGAAGGACCCUGGAGCCCUACCCAGGGAGGGGCUACUGGCACCACUGGGUCUACUGGCUGUCCUGACCUUGGCAGUGGCCACACUGUAUGGACUAUCCCUGGCUGCACCUGGGGAGUAGGCCAAGAAGGAAAAUCUGAUGAAUAAAGACCCCCCCU